ACGGGAGGCAGCAGUGAGGAAUAUUGGUCAAUGGGCGAGAGCCUGAACCAGCCAAGUAGCGUGAGGGACGACGGCCCUACGGGUUGUAAACCUCUUUUGUUCGGGAAUAAAGGGUCCCACGUGUGGGAUUUUGCAUGUACCGUUCGAAUAAGCAUCGGCUAAUUCCGUGCCAGCAGCCGCGGUAAUACGGAAGAUGCGAGCGUUAUCCGGAUUUAUUGGGUUUAAAGGGAGCGUAGGCGGUCCUUUAAGUCAGCGGUCAAAUGUCGGGGCCCAACCCCGGCCUGCCGUUGAUACUGGAGGACUUGAAUACACACAAGGAAGGUGGAAUUCGUCGUGUAGCGGUGAAAUGCUUAGAUAUGACGAAGAACUCCGAUUGCGAAGGCAGCCUUCUGGAGUGCGAUUGACGCUGAGGCUCGAAAGCGCGGGUAUCAAACAGGAUUAGAUACCCUGGUA
rnacentral:rRNA from 2 species